CCUUAUUUUAUUAUUCAUAUCCAUAAAAAGUAACCACUACGCUAGUCCCCCGAACUUAGCAUAAGACGGUAAUUUAAAAAAAGAAAAAAAAAAGAACGUUUCUAGACACCAAAACAAAAGCAAAACAAGCACAAAGCGAGACAUACAAACAAAUUUUAUGCUACUGCAUUCAUGCAGAAGCCAUCAACUGUUCACGACGAAGUUUGACAGCAACCGAUAGUUCAUCCUGAUUAGGAAGAUUUUCUUCAAUCACAGGGACUUGCUUGAAAGUUUCAAGCCAGGCAUGCAAGCGAGGGAAUUUGUGUGAUUCAAAUAGUUUAGCUCCCACUGCAUCUUCAAUGACUUGCAACCAAUAAACAAUUGAACCAAACGCUAGGUCCACUAAGCCAAUAUUGUCUCCAUUGAAAAAUUUCUUCUCUCCCAAGCCAUGCUCUUCAAUGGUUUGUAGCAUUUCCAAGGCUUCCUUCAUUGUGUUUUGUAGUUCUUGUCCAGUGCUUCGAAACAUUUUCCAAACAGCAACACCCUGCCACAAAUAUUUUACAUCUGAUUUUAUCACCGACAUGAUUAAUUAAUAAUAUGCAUAUAAAAGUGAAAUAUCGUUAGACAAUAUGCACACGUGUCACAAGAACCUUUAAUUAGAGGUUUAAUAAGUUAAUUAAGAGAGUUCAACCACUGAGUUGUAAAAUCUGUCAUUAGCUAGUAAAUUCACUUUUUCCCAAUGUUUCAAAAGUCAUCAAAAUUCACCGUCAAGUUAAAAACGGUUAUGUUAACUUUAACUUAUUACAUCUUUUCAUAUUUAAUGAUAAAACAGUGAAGGCACCAGAAAUUGAAAGUUUAGAGAACUUUUUACAAAUAAAUAUGAAGGAGACCCCUGGGUGGCUGGGCUCGACUGGCUAUGAAUUCACUUCCGCCAUCACCCGAGUUCGAGUAUAUAUGGAGAGUAAGAUUUAGUGUUUGGUGGGUGGGUUUCAUUAUCCUCGUCACCUAAUCUAGAUCUUAAAAUAAAAAAAUAAAAAAAUAAAAAAAUAAAUUUGAAAAGAAUGAACUUAAUUACAAACGUGUUUGCUAGUGUUGUGAGCAAACCUUGUCUUCGGCGAAUUUAAUCCAGAAUCGAGCAAGAGCUCUAUCAUAAGGAUUGUUUGGCAUCAAGGGAUUCUGUGGCCACGUCUCUUCGAUGUAUUCGAGAAUAACCAUGGACUCACAAACUGGUUUUCCGCCAUGGACAAGCACUGGGAUCUUCUUGUGAACUGGAUUGUACUUCAAAAGCGAAGCACUUUUGUUUGAGAGAUCUUCUGCAACAAAUUCAUAUGGCACGCCUUUCAAUUUCAGAGCCCAAAUCACCCUGUAAACAAAUGGACUCGGCAGUACUGCCCCAUGAAGCUUCACUUCAGCCAUGAUAAUUCUUAGAUUGAAUUUGAAUAUCAGGUUUUUUGGUCGAUCCUGAGUAUAGCUGAUAACUCAUUACACAUGUUUCUGAAUUUAUAGUGAUUUAUGGAAUGCGCUUUCUUGAGCAGAAAGCUUCGAUUUCCCACUAAUAAAACGAUUAAUUAAUGAUGAAUUCAAAGAACUAGUACGAUGACUUUAAUUAAAUAUUUUUUUACGUUGUGUGCGAGUUAUGUCGGCAUUUCGAGGUUAAUUUAAAAGAUAUUAUUUUCUUCUGAUCUAAAUUUUUAUAUAAAAAUAUAGUUAUUAAAUAGAAAUAAAAUAUAAAAUAAAUAUUGACUGUAUAUAAAUAAAAAAUUCAUACAUGUUAAAAAGAUUUUUUAAAACUCAAAUAAAUGGAUCCAAUUCCUAAUUUUAAAGGCUAGCCAAUGAGAUCAUUGAUUUGGUCAACCAGUCAGAGACAACCAUUCAAUAAUUAGUCAAAAUUUUGCCAUUUAUUUUACAUUUAAGACUUUUGCGUCAUGCAUGAUGAUCAAUUGAUCAUGGAUCAAUUAGUCAACAAGACAUUUGCCUUUUGUGAAUGUGUUCACAUUGGACGCAAAUAUAAUUUGUUAUAAAAAAAUUGGACUAAAUUACAAUUUUUUUUUAAUAAUACACCUGAUCCUAGAGGACCUGUUAUUUAGUUCGUGAAUCUUAUAACAGGAUCCAUGAUUAUUAUUUUUUAAAUCUUAUGGGUCCCCUAUUAUUUAAGGGAAAUUUAUGAAAAUAAUCAUGAAUAUUUUGUUAUUUUCACAACUAACCCUCUCAACUUUUUUCUAUCAACAUUAGCCAAACACAAGUCUUUCUUCCCAAAUUACCCUUCUUUACAGACCAAAAGCAACAAUCUUUCUCCCAUAUCGUCAAACCAAACGCAGCUUAAUCAUCAACCAACGGCGACGGCAAAAGACAACGGUAAAAGUGAAAUCCGAUCAUAAUCUAUCCGAAUCCAACACUAAUCGGCAUCACUUAAUAGUAUGAGUUAUUUUCUGAACUUGCUGAACUGAGUCGUGGGUGAAUCUGGCGACAGGCAACCUGUCGCACCAAGAGUUGGUGCGACAGGCACCUGUCGCACCUUGCUUGGUGCAACAGGCACCAAUUAAAAAAAAAAACAAACUUGAGAAUUAUGUAUGACGUGAGCCCAUAGCCAGUUGAACCCAAUUUUCACUUUCCAAUAUUAUAUGUGUUGAACGAACUUUAUGUGUAAGAGGCCCCACGCGAUUUCAUGUUAGUCUCAGAGGGUUUAUAGUUAUAUACCAUGGCUUCUUUAUCAAUCAACACAUGCAUGUAAAGAGAGAUUUGAAAAAACAAGAGUCAGUUUGAUAGAGAGUCUAGUGUUUCUUAAAAAUUAGCAAAACAAAUGUCAGUUGAUAGCCAAUGCAACAAAGAAGCCGUAAUUUUUGGAAACCGCGUAAUCAUUUUUUUUGUAAUAUUUGUUCGAUUUACAUUUUCAAAGUAACUAAACCCUCUGAGUUCAAGCUCACGCCAUUCUUGAACCAUCGCACAACAGCAACACAUGAGAUGAGUUAAGAAGUCAUCGCACGAACCGCCCUGCAAAAUAGAUUUAAGUCGAGAGGUUCUUUCAUUUUUAAUCAUCAUAAUCGAGGCCUCAGAAUUCACCUAAAAUGGGGAAGAAGGCACCUGAAUGUUGAAAGUUUCUCGCAAUUUUGUCCUUAUGCAACAGCUAUAACAGCAACAUCCGCAGAAGAUAAAAUAUGCCAUGAGAGUAUUGAUUGCUUGCUCACGAGCUGUAGCAACAAUUGAACAGGCAGCUUCAUCAGAAUCUUGUUGGAUUUACACUACUACAUUGACAAUUGCAUAAUGAUACUCUAUCCGCUUACAUAUUUUCCCUUCUGUCACUGCAUUAGCUAUCUUUGAAAAUGUUCCACAGGGAUAUAUGCAAGUCUUCAAGCCUGACUCUUGUUUUUUCUGACAUUUGCAGAGGGUAUUACAGGUACUCCAAAAAAUUGGUGCGACAGGCGCGCGCCUGUCGCCCCAAAGCUGGUGCGACAGCGGGGCGCGCAUGGGCGCGCGCUGCUGUCCAGCGAUGGGCGCGCGCGCGCGCCCUGCCCCCCUCCCUCCCCACCCCCAAAAUUAAGCCACAACACUCCAAAAUCGAAAAACAAUACUCCCAAACACCACCAACCACCACAAACAUCACCACCACCACCAUUAUUCUCAAGGUAUAACUAUUAUUAUUCUAAAAUCUCAUUUUAAAUUAAUGAAAAUAAAAAAAAUAACUAACCUAGGUUUUGUUGAAGGUUGUAGAUCGUAGAUCGGAUGCCGGUGAGAGAUGGAGCCGCCGCCGACGAGGGUUGAUGUCGCCGCCGAUGAUGGGAGUUGGAUCGGUUUGGGAGAGAUGAGUGAAAGGGAGUGUUGGGGGAGAGAUGAGGGAGGGGUAUUUUGGUCUCAAAAGUUAUUUUAUGGCUAAUGUUGAUAGAAAUAUUUUUGGGGGGUUAAGAUGAAAAAAAGCAAAAAAUUUUUGGUUAUUACUGUAAAUUUCCCAUUAUUUAAUUUGUGGAAUUGACGGAGGUAACUUGCAGUUUCAUUUUUGUAAUUUACAGCUUUCAAUAAAUUCAGAUAAUAUUAGGCAGUAAAAGUCGGCCAGGUUGGAGGAGUAGAUCUAUAAAAUUUGCUAGCACUUUGCACUAUCUGUUUGGGCCUUGGGGCCCAGAAACACACAUAUAUAUCAUCCACUUUUUAUUUAACGCUGGGUUUUUAUUACCCAUAAUAGUUUCUCUUUGUACAUCCACUUUUUAAUAAAAAAAUUUAUUGUCAAGAUAACUUUUUAUUAAUUACUUCACUAAUCCUUCUUUUUUUUUUGGCCAAUUUCUCUUUCGCAUCCGACAAAAUUUAAUUCACAUCAUGUGCUGGUAUGAUUGUAAAUAAAUUUGAAGUUAUCUCUCACAAGUUGUUCAAAAAUACAUAGACAUAUCAUGUGUAUAGAACUAAAGAACAAUAGCAACCCACUAUCCUCUAGGCGAUCGCUGCUAUUAGGACGGCAAAAUUUGCCGUCAAUAUGUAAAUUUUGUAGAUUGCAGGUAAAUUUGGUAUUUUAAAUUUAAGUUCAUUGCAGGUUACAAAUGGAUUCAGUAUUGAGAAAAAAAUCUGGCGGGUGUUUGCCGACCCACAUUUUUUUUAAUUAUUUGUGUUUUUAAUUUUAAUCACAAAGAUUGUCUUAAAAAAAUUUAAUCAUAAAAAUAUAAUAGUUAAAGUUAUUACUCUAAUCUUUCAAAUUCCUAAACCUAACCUAACUCAUUACAGUUACACACCCUACUCCUUCAAGUAUGUAUGAAUGUAAAUGUAUAGCUGUAUACACACGCACACACACAAAAAAUAAGCUUUUAAUAAGUAGAUUUAGUAUUUUUCAAGUUUAAUAUUAAUGAUAUUUUAAUUUAAUUUAAUUACUUUUGUUUGUUUCGCUUUAAUGACUUGAACUUAGUGAUUGCUGGCUAAGAUUGAAUUUUUAUUUGUCUAAUUAAUGGUCAAUAGUUGUCCAAAAUAUAUUUGUUAAUAUUGUUAACAAUACUUGUAUAUUAACUAAAAGAUAGAGCAAGGCAUUAAUCUUAGUAAUGAUUAUUUGCCUACAACAAAAUUAUUUUGUGUUAGAAUGAUAUAUUUUUUGUAUUUGUUUUAAUAUUGAAACUUUAAUUUCUCUUUUACAUUGAUAAAAUCUAAAAUUGAGUAAUUUAUGUAGAUUUUUUAGGUUGCUACUAUAAAAUUAUAUUUUGAAUUAUGUAAUUCAAAUUAUUAGAUAUAAUUUUUUUUAAUAUUUGUGAUUUUAAAUAUAAAUAUCUACAAAAAAAAAACCGCCUGCGUGUUGUGGAUGGAUUUACUAAUUAUUAAAAAUUAUAGCGAACGAACUUAAAAAAAAAAAAAAAAAAAGGCAACUGGUUACUGGCCAGUUUAAUAAUGACAAACCCAUAAUAAGCGAUACUCAUUACCAUCAGCAGCUUCUAUUACGGAGGGCCGGGGGCGGUCUUGAAUUGUUAGAAGUUGCAACAUUAAUUAGCAAAAUUUUCAGCGGCAUCCCUGAAGUAUAGCAUAGAAUUAGAUAUAUCCCCUUGUUUUCAAAAAGUUAGUCUCUGAUACCCAUGUUGUUUACUUAAUUUUUUUUUUCCAUUUCAAUUGGAUAUACAACUUCGUAAUGUUGCGCCUUGUAAAAUGUAUGCUUAAAAUGCGUGCUUCUUAUUUUUUAUAUACUGCUAAGAGAAGUUGAGAAUAGAAAUAUAUAAAAUGGAGUCUCAUUUAUUAAUUAUUUAUAUCCACUAAAUAGCUCUUUGAAGCUCACUUCAAUAGUAAAAUUAAUUAAACAAAAUAGAAAGAAUAUUUUUAACACCAGUACAAAAACAUAACAAGUGUAAAAGAAGACUCACAAACUUAUUUUAUGAUAUUACAUUCACACAAGUACCACCAAUGUUUUCCGACCACGUUCGAAAGAGAUCACCAGCUCACGCUGAUUUGGAAGAUUUUCUUUAAGUAUAUAAGUUAAAGUUAUUACUCUAGUCUUCAAAAUUCUUAAACCUAAUCUAACUCAUUACAGCUGCAUGCCUUACUCCUAGUAUAUGCAUGCCUUGCUCCUUCUAGUAUCCGUAUGUAUUUUAAGAUGGAUACAUUAACUUUUUAAUAAGUAAAAUUUUGUACUUUUCAAGCUUAAUAUGAAUGAUAUUUUAUUUUAAUUUAAUUACUUUGAAAUAUUUUGCUUUAAUGACUUGAACAUAUAGAUUGUUUGCUAAAGUUAAAUUUUUCUUUGUCUAAUUAAUUGGUGAUAAGAGUUGUAUAAAAUUUACUUAAAAUUAUGAUAAGAGCUUAUGAGAUUAAAUAAGUACUUAUAACCAUUAAAUAAAUCUUACCAAACAAACACUUAGUAAUAACAAAUCUGCAGCAGCCAAUACCCAUUACCAUCCCCAGCUGCUAUAAUGCAAGGACACGGGCGGUCUUAAUUGUUAGAAGGUGCAAAAUUAAUUAGCAAAAUGUUCAGCGGCAUCCUUGAAUUUUAGCAUAGAAUUAUAUAUAUCCCCUAGUUUUCAAAAUUAAUUUUUGAUUUCCCUGUAUAUAUAUAUAUAUAUAUAUAUAUAUAUUUCAAUUGGAUAUAUAACUUUGUAAUGUUGCGCCUUAUAAAAAUGAAUGCUUAAAAUGCAUGCUUAUUACUUUUUAUAUGAUGUUAAGAGAAACUGAGAAUAGAAAUAUGUAAAAUGGAGUUUCAUUUAUUAAUUAUUUAUAUUCAUUAAAUAGCACCCAACAUGGAGUUUGUCUCAAUAGUAAAAUUAAUUAAACAAAGUAGAAGGAUCUGUUUUAGCAACAGUACAAAAAUAAAACAAGCACAAAGUGAGAAUCACAAACUUAUUUUAUGAUAUUACAUUCACGCAGAUGUCACCAAUGUUUCCCGACGACGUUUGAAAGCGAUCACCAUCUCAUGCUGAUUUGGAAGAUUUUCUUUAAUUACAGGGAAUUUCCUGAAAUUUUCAACCACUCAUGCAAGCUUGGGAAUUUGUGAGAUUCAAAUAGUUUCACUCCCAUUACAAUUUGUGAGAUUCAGAUAGGGUCCCACCUAACCCCACUUUUUUGGUGGUUAAAAAAAAAAUCAGGGAUCAAACCUAGGUCAUCAAGGUGAAACAUCAAAUAGGUUGUAAAUUUAACAUAUGAAUGUAAAAGCUUAACAAAACAUUUGAUGAAGUUGCUUCACAACAUAGAAAUACAAGCAAAAAGAGAUGCUAAACAACACAAAAAUUUGAUUGGGGGGGAGUAUUGUUCAUGCUAGCAUAAUAAUGAGGUGCCUGAGAAUACCUAAGACUUUCUUGAUAAAUAAUAUCAUCUAAAAGGUUAGGAAUCACAUAUGAUUGUCCACGUAUGAACAAAUAGGGAUGGCAAAAGUCCUAGUUGGGUUCGGGUUUGGGGUUGCCCGGGACCGACCCGCAUGAUACACAUAGCUGUCUGGACCCGGACCGUGCCCAGAUUUUUCAUAUGCGGGCCGGAUUAAGCCCGACACUAUCCGAGCACGGAUUUUUUUAUCCGGGUUUCCUCUGCCCAUAUAAAUUGAAUUAAAAGGGAAGAAAUCCUGUAAUAAAUUAUUACAACAUCUUAAUUAUUUCAAUCUACUUUGUAAAUUUGAAGUAAAUAAAAUUCAUUCAAUCUCUUCCUAAAUUCAUUCAUUUCAAUCUCCAUCAAAAACUUAAAUUAAGUAGCAUAAUAAUUACAAUUGACAAAUAAAAUACCAACUAUCAAUAUAAUAUAUGAAAAUUUUAAAAUAUCAAACAACAAAGAACAAACUAACAAGACGGUUGCUGCACAAACAUGGCUAUGAUGUGGAGGUGUUGUGCACGGUGGGUCACGGACCAAAUCUAAGAAGUGGGAAAAGAGAGAGAGAAAAAAGAAGAAACAAGAAUAAGAAUAAGAAAAUAUUUCUAUUAAUUUAUUCUUGGAUUGAGAUUUAAGGUUUCUUUGUGCGUUUGAAAAGGAGGGGUGAGGGUUGUUGCUGCUGGGCGUUGGCUACUUGGCUUGGAGAGUUGAAGAUGAGGGAGUUGACUUGGAGUGUUGAAGGGGAGGGAGCGGCGGCUUUGGGAGUGUAAGUUUAUGAGAGUUUUAGGGUUUGUAAAUGUAAUGUGAUAUAUAUAUUUUUAUUUUAUUUUUUAAAAUUAAAAAAUUUUAACCGGGCGUUGAUCCGGGUUCUGGGUUUUUGGGGUUCUGCCCGGAUCCGUGCCCGGAAUUAUCCGGGUAUUAAUUUCCAAAACCCGGAACCGGUUUCUUUUUUAAUACGGGCCGGGUAAAACCCAGACCGUAUGAGCUGGGUCCGGUCCGGAUCCAGACCGGGCGGAUUUUUUUGCCACCUCUAUGAACAAACCUUGCUCAAAAUGUGAAAUGUGUUAAGAUUUUCAAACAUUUAAAUUAAUAAUUAAUAAUUUCAGACAAAGGAUACUUAGAGACCCUAAAGUUCACUAAUUUUAUGUUAUGACUCAUUGUCUCUCUCAACAAUUUAAUUUCUAGAUUAUUUGGCUCCUAUCUAUUAAAAGACAACACCGUUACUAAAAUUAUAAAUUAUAACAGUUAAACCUAAACCUACAUCGUUUAGCAAUUUACAAAAGAAAAAAUAUAUAACAAAAGCCAAUUGUUGGAGUAGCAACGUGCCAACGAGAAAACCUCAAGCCAUGUAAUAUCCUGUGUCAACAACUAAAGAAGAACAAACCACCACCCUCUAGGUCGUCGCUGCACUAACGCUGGACCCGAUUUGAAUAGUUAGAAGUUGUAACAUUAAUUAGAGAUUGAGGGUAAAAUUUUGGACUUUGAUUUAAUAAAAUUGAUUUAAAUGAGUCCCAAUAGAAAUAUGAUUAUAAAUAUAUCAAUACAAUUAUAACAUGUUAAAAGAAAAAAAGUUUAGUUUCACACAAAACAAAAAACACAACCCUUGGAUGUGGGAUGUGUCUAAAAAAUAAUAGGGUGGAAAUAUUAUCACCCUCAAAUUAGAUAUAUAAAUGUUUAAUGUUUUACUCUUAUAAUUUGUAUUUAUUUUUUUGAAUAUUGUUAAGAGAAAGAUAGAAAUUAAUAUAUAGACAAAUCGAGUCCUUUUUUUAUUAUUCAUAUCCAUAAAAAGUAACCACUAUGCUAGUCCCACGAACUUAGCAUAAGACGGUAAUUUAGAAAAAAGAAAAAAAAAAGGAACGUUUUUAGACACCAAAACAAAAGCAAAACAAGCACAAAGCGAGACAUACAAACAAAUUUUAUGCUACUGCAUUCAAGCAGAAGCCAUCAACUGUUCACGACGAAGUUUGAGAGCAACCAAUAGUUCAUCCUGAUUAGGAAGAUUUUCUUCAAUCACAGGGACUUGCUUGAAAGUUUCAAUCCAGGCAUGCAAGUGAGGGAAUUUGUGUGAUUCAAAUAGUUUAGCGCCCACUAUAUCUUCAAUGACUUGCAACCAAUAAACAAUUGAACCAAACGCUAGGUCCACUAAGCCAAUAUUGUCUCCAUUGAAAAAUUUCUUCUCUCCCAAGCCAUGCUCUUCAACUGUUUGUAGCAUUUCCAAUGCUUCCUUCAUUGUGUUUUGUAGUUCUUGUCCAGUGCUACGAAACAUUUUCCAAACAGCAACACCCUGCCACAAAUAUUUUACAUCUGAUUUUAUCACCGACAUGAUUAAUUAAUAAUAUGUAUAUAAAAAGUGAAAUAUCGUUAGACAAUAUGCACACGUGUCACAAGAACCUUUAAUUAGAGGUUUAAUAAGUUAAUUAAGAGAGUUCAACCACUGAGUUGUAAAAUCUGUCAUUAGCUAGUAAAUUCACUUUUUCCCAAUGCUUCAAAAGUCAUCAAAAUUCCCCGUGAAGUUAAAAACGGUUGUGUUAACUUUAACUUAUUACAUCUUUUCAUAUUUAAGGAUAAAACAGUGAAGACACCAGAA
rnacentral:lncRNA from 1 species